ACACAUGCAAGUCGAACGGAGUUAUGAUGUGAGCGGGAAGUGCUUGCACUAAACAAUCUUUUCAUAACUUAGUGGCGGACGGGUGAGUAACGCGUGGGUAACCUGCCCUGUACUGGGGGACAACAGUUGGAAACGACUGCUAAUACCGCAUAAGCGCACGGGAUCGCAUGAUCGUGUGUGAAAAACUCCGGUGGUACAGGAUGGACCCGCGUCUGAUUAGCUGGUUGGUGAGGUAACGGCCCACCAAGGCAACGAUCAGUAGCCGGCCUGAGAGGGUGAACGGCCACAUUGGGACUGAGACACGGCCCAAACUCCUACGGGAGGCAGCAGUGGGGAAUAUUGCACAAUGGGGGAAACCCUGAUGCAGCGACGCCGCGUGAGUGAAGAAGUAUUUCGGUAUGUAAAGCUCUAUCAGCAGGGAAGAAAAUGACGGUACCUGACUAAGAAGCCCCGGCUAACUACGUGCCAGCAGCCGCGGUAAUACGUAGGGGGCAAGCGUUAUCCGGAUUUACUGGGUGUAAAGGGAGCGUAGACGGCAUGGCAAGUCUGAAGUGAAAUGCGGGGGCUCAACCCCUGAACUGCUUUGGAAACUGUCAGGCUGGAGUGCAGGAGAGGUAAGUGGAAUUCCUAGUGUAGCGGUGAAAUGCGUAGAUAUUAGGAGGAACACCAGUGGCGAAGGCGGCUUACUGGACUGUAACUGACGUUGAGGCUCGAAAGCGUGGGGAGCAAACAGGAUUAGAUACCCUGGUAGUCCACGCCGUAAACGAUGAUUACUAGGUGUUGGGGAUUUAUAAACCCCCGGUGCCGUCGCAAACGCAAUAAGUAAUCCACCUGGGG
rnacentral:rRNA from 1 species